CACCUAUAAUUGUAACCAAAGAACAAAUUUAAAUUGAAUGUAAAAGUGGGCUUAGCCAGUAUGGUGUAUGGAAGUGGACCCUCUGUUUUUCAACUACUUUCUGUUGUUCAAUAAGGUGGCUGUUUGUUGUUCCUUGUCAAUGUUUUCCCACUUUUUUUGUCCAAGAAUAUCGUUUCCCACUUUCACAUAAACUUAUGAUCUCAUUAACUGAUAUUUUUAAUAGCUUAAACCCAACAACAUAAGUACAUGACUUCGAGCCCUGAGCUCGUGCAUGUUCUGAUAUUGGUGGGUCACCAUAUCUUUUUUUAUCAAAAGGAUAAAGAUCAAAGACGCUGCUACUUCGUUAAUUAGUUUAAUUUCCUUCCAACAAACGCCUCUUCGAGUUUGAAUUAUUUUUUUAAUUAUUUAAUCUCUUGUUAAGAAAUGGCUUAAAAUUGGUAGUGGAUUGUUGUUGUUGGUAGUGGGUUGUUGGUGGUAGUGGAUUAGUGGAUGGUUGUUGGUAUCCAUUUUCAACCACAAAUCUUUGCCAAAGUUUUGGACAAUUAUGUCCUUGAACUCUCUUAUAAAUAGAGAGGUUCAUUAGCCAUAUUCAUCAUCCCAAACCAAGAGAGAGCAAAGCUUGUUCUUUGAAAGCUAGGAUUUUAGCUUUCGGGUUUUCUAUAGGGGUUGAGAGUUGUGAGGUUCUCGGGUUGUGUCUUGAGUGUAAAACACUUGUAAUCUUCAUCUUGUUAUAGUGAAAUUUCUUUUCGCCUCUGCCCGUGGACGUAGGCAUUAAAGCCGAACCACGUAAAUCCUUGUGUUCACUUUAUUUUUCGUUCCGGUCAAUUUACUUGUAGUCAUAUCGGAGUUCUCGAAUCGAUCCUUUCCGCAACAAAUUGGUAUCAGAGCGUAGUUGAAGGAGUGAUAAUAUUUUCUGAAUUGCCCUGUGACUGCAGCUUUGUCUGAUCUUUCACAUCAGGAAGAAAAUAUUAUCAUUCAUUCAAAGGUUCCAAAUUAUGGCUACAAGUGUUUCAUCGACUAAGUAUGAUGUCGAGAAAUUUACCGGGAAAAAUAGUUUCAGUUUAUGGCGCAUCAAGAUGCGGGCAGUGCUGGUUCAACAAGGAUUGCUAAAAGCAUUGUCUGGUAAAGAUAAAUUACCAAGCACGCUUUCGGAAGAGCAAAAGGAUGACAUGCUAGAAAGAGCACAUAGUGCUAUUCUGCUAUGUCUAGGAGAUGAAGUGCUACGAGAAGUAGCGGAUGAGAAAACCGCGUCCGGUUUGUGGCUCCGGUUAGAGAGCAAGUACAUGACGAAGUCAUUGACGAACCGGCUCUACCUCAAGCAAAGACUCUAUGCCCUGAAGAUGGAGGAAGGUACACCUGUUUCCCAGCACCUGGAUAAAUUCAAUUCCAUUAUCAUGGAUUUGAAUAAUAUCGAUAACAAAAUCGAUGAUGAGGACCAAGCAAUAAUUGUUUUGUGUUCUUUGCCUCCCUCGUAUGAGAAUUUUGUUGAUACAAUGAUGUACGGUCGUGAUGACCUGACUCUAGAGGAGGUGAAAAAUGCCUUAAGUUCCAGUGAGUUGAGGAAGAAAAUCACUGGUAAGGUGGUCGAAAACAAUGAAGGCGAAGGCUUGGUUGCUCGAGGAAGAUCCAAGGCAAAGGGUGGAAGUUCAAGUAAAAGCCAUCCUAGAUCGCAGUCCAAGAAGAGAAUACAGUGCUACUACUGUAAGAAGUACGGGCACAUGAAGGUAGAUUGUCCGAAAAGGAAGGAGAAAUCAGAAUCACAGGAGCAACAAAAUGAUCGUGCGAAUGUAGCUGAUGCAGAUUCUUCAAGUGAUGCCGAGAUCGUUCUUGCAGUAUCCGACUCUUACGCUGGUGGGAGAUGGAUUCUUGAUACGGGAGCUACAUUUCAUAUAAGUACUUCGAAAGAUGCAUUCUCAACAUACGAGAAGCAUUCUGGUUCAGUACUAAUGGGAAAUGACCACGCAUGUCAAGUCAUGGGGAUUGGCACAGUUCGUAUAAAGAUGUUUGACGGUAUUGUUAGAACUCUAACUGAUGUUCGGCACAUUCCAGAAAUGAAGAAAAAUUUGAUCUCUUUGAGUACGUUGGACAAGAAAGGCUUUCGGUACUCUGCUGAAGGUGGAGUUCUCAAGGUAUUCUCGGGUGCUUUGACUGUGAUACGUGGUAAUUUGGAGCGGGGCCUUUACUUCCUCGAUGGUUCCUCGGUUACAGGUGUUGCGGGAGUGUCAUCAUCAGAUGAUCUAGAUUCUGACACCACGCAGUUAUGGCAUAUGCGGCUCGGGCAUAUGAGCGAGAGAGGCUUAUCGGUGCUAAGCAAACGAGGAUUAUUGUCUGGGCAGUGUACAGGAAAGUUGAAUUUCUGUGAGCACUGCGUCUUCGGUAAGCAGACUCGGGUAAAGUUCAGCACUGGGAUUCACAAGACAAAAGGCACAGUGGAUUACUUCCAUUCUGACCUUUGGGGGCCUUCUCCGACAAUUUCUAAAGGUGGUUACAGAUAUCUGCUUACCUUUAUCGAUGAUUACUCGAGAAAGGUUUGGGUGUAUUUUCUGAAGAGCAAGUAUGAGGUUCUCAUCAACUUCAAGCAAUUUAAAGCUUUGAUCGAAAAUCAAACAGGAAAGAAGAUCAAGCGAUUCCGGACGGAUAAUGGCUUGGAGUUUUGCUCAGGUGAAUUCAAUGAGUUCUGCAAAAAUGAAGGAAUAGUGAGACACCGCACUGUUCGUCGAACACCACAACAAAAUGGAGUUGCAGAACGCAUGAAUAGAACUCUCUUGGAGCGAGCUCGUUGCAUGCGAUCAAAUGCUGGGCUCGGUGAAGAAUUUUGGGCUGAAGCUGUUAAUACUGCUUGUUAUUUGGUUAACAGAUCUCCGUCAACAGCUAUUGAGCUGAAGACUCCUGAGGAAGUAUGGUCUGGUUCUCCUGCUGAUUACUCUGGUUUAAGAGUGUUUGGCUGCCCUGCGUAUGCUCAUGUAAAUGAGGGAAAACUCAAACCGAGGGCGAAGAAAUGCAUAUUUCUUGGAUACGGCCAAGGGGUGAAAGGAUACAGGUUGUGGUGUCCUGAUCCGGUUUCGUCCAAGUUCAUCAUCAGCAGAGAUGUGACUUUUGAUGAGUCAUCCAUGCUUCGAUCCACCACAAAUUCCCGGGAAAAGGAGGAGUCAGAUAGAAUGGGAGAUCACGGUGUUGAGAAGCAGGUGGAGUGUCAGGUGGACGCUCCAAUUCCUACGGAAGGUACUUCAGUCCAGGAUGAUCAAGUUGAGGUGCAAGAUUCCGAUGAAGAUGAGUCACCUCAAGAAAAACCAUAUAGCAUUGCCACUGGAAGAACGAAGAGACAAAUCAAACCAAAUCCGCGUUACGCUAAUCUGGUGUCUUUCGCGCUCAGUGUGGCGGAGUCCAUUGGUAUAGAACCUUCCAGUUAUAAUGAGGCUGUCACGUGUGAUGAGUCGGCACAGUGGGCAAUUGCUAUGAGUGAGGAGAUAGAAUCUCUUCACAAGAACCAUACUUGGGAGUUGGUUAAGCCGCCAAGUAACCAGAAGAUAGUUGGUUGCAAAUGGGUCUUCAAGAAAAAGGAAGGCAUCCUAGGGGUUGAAGCAACUAGAUUCAAGGCACGAUUGGUUGCUAAAGGCUUCACUCAGAAAGAGGGGAUUGACUACAAUGAAGUUUUCUCCCCAGUCGUAAAGCAUUCUUCCAUUCGUGUAUUACUUGCCAUGGUGGCCAAGUCUGAUCUAGAACUUGAGCAGCUUGACGUAAAAACGGCGUUCUUGCAUGGUGAGCUCGAGGAAACAAUCUACAUGCGUCAACCAGAGGGUUUUACAUUUCCUGGUAAAGAAGACCAUGUCUGUCUAUUAAAGAAGUCUUUAUAUGGAUUGAAACAAUCCCCAAGGCAGUGGUACAAGCGGUUUGAUAGCUUCAUGAUUCAGCAUGGUUACACAAGAUGUGACUAUGAUGCUUGUGUCUAUCAUCGGAAGCUCUCAGAUGGUUCGCACAUUUAUUUGUUGCUGUAUGUUGAUGACAUGUUAAUUGCUUCCAAAAACAUGUCGGAAAUCAACAAGUUAAAGUCGCAGUUGAGUGGUGAGUUCGAGAUGAAGGAUCUGGGUGCUGCCAAGAAAAUUUUGGGCAUGGAUAUUCACAGAGAUCGCAAGGCGGGCAAGCUUCGUGUGUCGCAGAAGAACUACAUUGAAAAGGUUCUUCAACGCUUCGGCAUGGAUAAAGCGAAAACUGUGAGUACUCCGUUGGCACCACAUUUCAAACUCUCUGCAGAGUUGUCACCACAAUCUGAUGAAGAAAAGCAGCAAAUGUCUCACAUUCCAUACUCGAGUGCAGUUGGAAGCGUGAUGUAUGCAAUGGUUUGCACUCGUCCAGACAUUUCACAUGCAGUUAGUGUGGUCAGCAGAUACAUGAGUUGUCCUGGCAAGGAACACUGGCAGGCCGUGAAAUGGAUUCUCAGGUACUUGAGAGGUUCUGCAGAUUUAUGCUUGGUAUAUGAUCAGAGUGACUGCACUAGCAGUGUCACGGGCUAUGUGGACUCUGAUUAUGCUGGAGAUCUGGACAAAAGAAGAUCUCUGACGGGUUAUGUUUUCACUUAUUCUGGAGGAGCCAUUAGUUGGAAAGCUGUGUUACAGUCUACCGUAGCCUUAUCUACGACUGAGGCGGAAUAUAUGGCGUUAGCAGAAGCAGUGAAAGAAGCAUUGUGGAUGAAAGGUCUAGUAAGCAGUUUGGGUUUACAACAGGAUUUCACUGUUGUAUUUUGCGAUAGCCAGAGUGCCAUACAUCUGACUAAAAAUCAGAUGUUUCAUGAACGGACCAAACACAUUGAUGUCAGAUAUCAUUUUGUUCGAGAACAUGUUACGCAAGGUGACAUUGUUAUCAGCAAGGUUGCUACCGAGAAGAAUCCUGCAGAUAUGUUAACUAAGGUGAUCCCUGCAUAUAAGUUCAAGCAUUGCUUGGACUUGAUAGGUAUUCGGGAUUGAUUAGCGCCAGAGAGGCGUUUGGAAGAGGUGAUCCAGUUCGAGGAAUUGACUAUGAUGUUCAGCUUGGUAAAUUUCAAGCCAAGGUGGAGAUUUGUUAAGAAAUGGCUUAAAAUUGGUAGUGGAUUGUUGUUGUUGGUAGUGGGUUGUUGGUGGUAGUGGAUUAGUGGAUGGUUGUUGGUGUCCAUUUUCAACCACAAAUCUUUGCCAAAGUUUUGGACAAUUAUGUCCUUGAACUCUCUUAUAAAUAGAGAGGUUCAUUAGCCAUAUUCAUCAUCCCAAACCAAGAGAGAGCAAAGCUUGUUCUUUGAAAGCUAGGAUUUUAGCUUUCGGGUUUUCUAUAGGGGUUGAGAGUUGUGAGGUUCUCGGGUUGUGUCUUGAGUGUAAAACACUUGUAAUCUUCAUCUUGUUAUAGUGAAAUUUCUUUUCGCCUCUGCCCGUGGACGUAGGCAUUAAAGCCGAACCACGUAAAUCCUUGUGUUCACUUUAUUUUUCGUUUCGGUCAAUUUACUUGUAGUCAUAUCAGAGUUCUCGAAUCGAUCCUUUCCGCAACAUCUCUGAAAACAUACAUAUUUUUCCCUGUUUGGUUCCUAAGAAACCACAAGGAAAUAUGUCUAAAAGAAAAACAAAGGGUUUACAUUUAAACAUCCAAAUAAACUUAAAGUGUGAUUAAAACCAGAUUAUAAUUUGUUUUUUGCAAGUUAAAAUGAUUUCAUUUGGGAAAUAAAAGAUAUAUGUAUAUUUA
rnacentral:lncRNA from 1 species